UACGGAGGGGGCUAGCGUUGUUCGGAAUUACUGGGCGUAAAGCGCACGUAGGCGGCUUUGUAAGUUAGAGGUGAAAGCCCGGGGCUCAACUCCGGAAUUGCCUUUAAGACUGCAUCGCUAGAAUUGUGGAGAGGUAAGUGGAAUUCCGAGUGUAGAGGUGUAAUUCGUAGAUAUUCGGAAGAACACCAGUGGCGAAGGCGACUUACUGGACACAUAUUGACGCUGAGGUGCGAAAGCGUGGGGAGCAAACAGG
rnacentral:rRNA from 1 species